rnacentral:rRNA from 1 species
CCUACGGGAGGCAGCAGUAGGGAAUCUUCCGCAAUGGGCGAAAGCCUGACGGAGCAACACCGCGUGGUGGAUGAAGCGUUUCGGCGUGUAAACACCUUUUCUGAGGGAAGAAUUAUGACGGUACCUUAGGAAUAAGCACCUGCUAACUACGUG